CAGAUGUCUCCUUCUUGCCAGGUACGACCCGUGUCCUGCCUCCCAAGGAGGGCACCCAGCAUUGUCCCCAGAAAGCCAGGAGCGGAUGCUGAUGUUUUCGACCGACAGUCGGUGUACCGAGGGUCCCUGACGCAGCGGAACCCCAAUGGGAGGAAGGGAGCCGUCAACCACAGCUUCGGGAAGCCAGUGAUGGCGCAGCAGCCCUGAGGGCACUCCACACCCACCACGCGGCCUCCCCUCCGCCAGGCACGUCCACCACGGACGCAGCCCUGGACAGCACUCGGGCCCUGCUGUCCCCACCGUCCCUGUCCCGUCCCCGAGGCGUCCUCUCCUCCACCGGCCGCGCUUUCCCGCUGCCUCCUCACACCCAGCACCAGGCUGACACCCCAGGGACCUUGGGGAGGUGGCAGAGAGUGGGUGCCCUGGGCUGAGGUCCGCAGCCAACUGAGGGCAGAGGGGCAGCCCCCCCAGUGCACAAGAACACACACUCACUCACACUCUCGAUCCCUCACACACACACUCACACUCACGAUCACUCACACAUUCACUUAGUCAAACACACCCACACACACUCACACACACACUCAGUCACACACACACUCACACACACACUCACACACACACACUCACACACACUCACACACACUCACACACACUCACACUCACUCACACACACACUCUCUCACACACACACACACACACACACUCUCACACACACACACACCUGGUUAACAGCAGCACACCCCUGGGACCAGCUAGUGAACUCACUCUGCAGAGCUGGGUCCCAGUCCACACUGGGUGCUGGGUCGGGCCAGGGGCAAGACUCAGGACCUUGAAUGCCACCAAUGCCACCUGCCAGCAGGGUGCUCUUGGGGACUUCUGGGGGUCUCUGGGGGUCUCUGGGGAUCUC